rnacentral:rRNA from 1 species
UACGGCGAGUGAAGCGGGUAGAGCUCAAAUUUGUAAUCUGGCAGUUUCACUGUCCGAGUUGUAAUCUAUAGAAGUGUUUUCCGUGCUGGCUCAUGUACAAGUCCCUUGGAAUAGGGCAUCAUAGAGGGUGACAAUCCCGUACUUGACAUGAACUCCCAGUGCUCUGUGAUACACUUUCAAAGAGUCGAGUUGUUUGGGAAUGCAGCUCAAAAUGGGUGGUAAAUUCCAUCUAAAGCUAAAUAUUGGUGGGAGACCGAUAGCGAACAAGUACCGUGAGGGAAAGAUGAAAAGCACUUUGGAAAGAGAGUUAAACAGUAUGUGAAAUUGUUAAAAGGGAAACGCUUGAAGUCAGUCAUGCUUUUGAGAACUUGUUCUCUUUAGUGGGGUCAACAUCAGUUUUGAUCGCUGGAAAAGGGCUGGAGGAAUGUAGUACCCUCGGGUAAACUUAUAGCCUCCUGUCGCAUACAGUGGUUGGGACUGAGGACUGCGGCUUUGCCUAGGAUGUUGACAUAAUGGCUUUAAACGACCCGUCUUGAA